AAGAUAUGUUUAUUCGGGGUCAAGGUGGCGAAGAUAGAAGACAAAUAAUAAUCCCCAGUGAAACUUGAACUAGCGUCCGCCAGAAGAUUGCACACAAGAUCAGUUGUAUCUAUUCUGAUAGGGACGCCAUCAUAGUGAGCACGAUAUCUGAAGGUACAAGCAUCUUUGCCGGCCUGGUGACCUUUGGCAUCCUUGGAGUGAUGUCCGAGAAAACUGGCGUCCAUAUUUCGGAUGUAGUUUCCAGCGGUCCAGGACUAGGUUUUGUAGCCUACCCAGAAGCUCUGGCGCAACUUCCGGUGCCUCAGUUGUGGUCCUUCCUGUUCUUCCUCAUGCUUCUUGCUGUGGGCCUGGAUGGUCAGUUCAUGAGCGUGGAGGUCAUCACAACAGCC